GAUGAACGCUGGCGGCGUGCCUAAUACAUGCAAGUCGAGCGAACAGACGAGGAGCUUGCUCCUCUGACGUUAGCGGCGGACGGGUGAGUAACACGUGGAUAACUUACCUAUAAGACUGGGAUAACUUAGGGAAACCGGAGCUAAUACCGGAUCAUAUAUUGAACCGCAUGGUUCAAUAGUGAAAGACGGAUUUGCUGACACUUAUAGAUGGAUCCAGGCCGGAUUAGCUAGUUGGUAAGGUAACGGCCUACCAAGGCGACGAUGCGUAGCCGACCUGAGAGGAUGAUCAGCCACACUGGAACUGAGACACGGUCCAGACUCCUACGGGAGGCAGCAGUAGGGAAUCUUCCGCAAUGGGCGAAAGCCUGACGGAGCAACGCCGCGUGAGUGAUGAAGGUCUUCGGAUCGUAAAACUCUGUUAUUAGGGAAGAACAAAUGUGUGAGUAACUAUGCACGUCUUGACGGUACCUAAUCAGAAAGCCACGGCUAACUACGUG
rnacentral:rRNA from 1 species